CCUUCGGGUUAGUGGCGGACGGGCUGAGUAACGCGUGGGAAUCUGCCCUCAGGAGGGGGAUAACGGCUGGAAACGGCCGCUAAUACCCCAUAUGCCGAGAGGUGAAAUGAAAUUCGCCUGAGGAUGAGCCCGCGUCUGAUUAGCUAGUUGGUGGGGUAAGAGCCUACCAAGGCGACGAUCAGUAGCUGGUCUGAGAGGAUGAUCAGCCACACUGGGACUGAGACACGGCCCAGACUCCUACGGGAGGCAGCAGUGGGGAAUUUUCCGCAA
rnacentral:rRNA from 1 species